rnacentral:ncRNA from 1 species
UAUCUUAGUGAUAGCAGGUUUUACUAGAAUAUCUUUUUAUAUCAAAGGAUGCUCUUUUUGGCUACUAGAAUAUUCCAUUUCAACAUAAGGUGGGGAGGUGAUUUAAUGUCCAAUGAAAGCUUCUUCCUAUCAACAUUCGAUGAUAGGAUAGAGGUUUACCAUAGUGGUGAUGGAUGACAAUAAAUUGGAGUUUGAUUGCAUAGAUGGAGCAUAAGAAAUGAGCACAACAUCCAAGUAAUGGAACAAACAAGUUGUCCAAUAUUGACAUGGGAAGGAAUUGAAAGUAAAUAACAAUGAUGGGAUCAUUGAAUCAUGUAAUUGGAAUACGUAUAAUCCAAAUCCCUUAACAAGGAUCUAUUGGAGGGAAAGUGUGGUGCCAACAGUUGUAAUAAUUCUAGCUCCAAUAGUGUAUAUUUAACUUCUUACAGUUAAAAAGAUCAUAGUUGGAUUUUAGGUUGGGAGGGUUGUUCUACCUAUUUGUUGUGCCCUUCCCCUUCCAUCCCUUUUCUAGUGAUGCACUCCUGACCUUAAUUGGAUGGGUUGCAAUACUAUUGUUGUUACUUUCAAAAUAUUAGGGUUCUCAAGGAAUGUUAUCUAAAUAUAUUAGCAUCAAACAAUGUGAAUCAUAAGAGUAUGCUCAUAUUGUGUUAGCUUUUGAAAUCAAAGCAAUGCUUAGUAAGCACUAUCAAGGGAAUUCAUAUUUUAUUAACACAUGUGAAUUAUUGGCUUUAUGAAAUAUGAAACAUUACAAAAACAUUUUCCAAGAAUGUUUUCAUUAUCCAAUGAUGAAAGUUUGGGGAGAAAAUAAAACUAUCUACCAUCAUAGUCUCAACCAUAAGCAAUGUCAACUAGGGAUUGGUGGAUGUUUCUCUAAUAAAUUUUCACUCAUGUUGGAGGUUAGGCA